UACGUAGGUGUCAAGCGUUGUCCGGAUUUAUUGGGCGUAAAGCGCCCGCAGGCGGCUUGCCAAGUUCGAUGUGAAAUCUCCCGGCUCAACUGGGAGGGUGCAUCGAAAACUGGCAGGCUUGAGGCAGGGAGAGGAACGCGGAAUUCCAGGUGUAGCGGUGAAAUGCGUAGAUAUCUGGAGGAACACCGGUGGCGAAGGCGGCGUUCUGGACUGUAACUGACACUGAGGAACGAAAGCCAGGGGAGCAAACGGG
rnacentral:rRNA from 1 species